CCAAUGUGGGUACCCCACGAGGUCCCUCCCCCUGGGCACUGUCCAGAAGGCACACAGGGCUCUGCUCCAAGGUGUAUAGUCCUUUUCCACACUCUGGGAGAUGAAUCUGGACCUCAAGUGUGCACCUGUAUAUUUCUACAGCUUCUCAGAAUUUUCUGGACCAUGACUGAGGAGAUAAGCCAAUUUUUCAAAAAUU